rnacentral:rRNA from 1 species
CCCUUUCGGGGGUACUCGAGCGGCGAACGGGUGAGUAACACGUGAGUAAUCUGCCCUUGGCUUUGGGAUAAGCCCCGGAAACGGGGUCUAAUACCGGAUACGACCGACCUCGGCAUCGGGUGUUGGUGGAAAGUUUUUUCGGCCAGGGAUGUGCUCGCGGCCUAUCAGCUUGUUGGUGGGGUAAUGGCCUACCAAGGCUUCGACGGGUAGCCGGCCUGAGAGGGUGACCGGCCACACUGGGACUGAGACACGGCCCAGACUCCUACGGGAGGCAGCAGUGGGGAAUAUUGGACAAUGGGCGGAAGCCUGAUCCAGCAACGCCGCGUGAGGGAUGACGGCCUUCGGGUUGUAAACCUCUUUCAGUACCGACGAAGCGCCGAUGAUGGUGGUGACGGUAGGUACAGAAGAAGCACCGGCCAACUACGUGCCAGCAGCCGCGGUAAUACGUAGGGUGCGAGCGUUGUCCGGAAUUAUUGGGCGUAAAGGGCUCGUAGGCGGUUUGUCGCGUCGGGAGUGAAAACACCGGGCUUAACUCGGUGCUUGCUUUCGAUACGGGCAGACUAGAGGCAUGCAGGGGAGAACGGAAUUCCUGGUGUAGCGGUGAAAUGCGCAGAUA